rfam:Saccharothrix espanaensis DSM 44229 complete genome
CUUGAGCGACCCCAGCCGCACCGGCCGGUCGGCCGGGCGGUCGCGGCCGUAGGUGGCCAGCAGGGCGUUGGCCUC